UGAACAUCCGUCGGACUGUUCGCAGUCCGCAUUGGGCUCUCACUUUCUGCCUCACGGCGGCUGUGGUGCCUCAGAGUAUGCUGUGCGGAGUUUGCAACAACUCAACUCUUGGACCUCUACAGUCUGGGUUGGCCCGUCUGCAGGCUGCACGCAUCUGGUGCCGGCGCUCUCUCAACUCUGCCCGGUGCACCUACCCCUCAACCUUACCU
rnacentral:misc_RNA from 1 species